CUGGUAAAUAGAUGUAUUUACAUAUUACAGUUUCCAGAUAUAUCUGCGUAUGAUACAUAUUUAUAUAUUGCAUGGACUGCAUAUUGAAAAUGUGAAAGAAAUUGUCAUUUACAUACAGUUUCUAUAGUAUUCUUAUUUUAAACACUGUUCUCUGGUGAAGAACAAUUGCCAAUAUUGUACAGGUGCAUUCUGUAUUUACAUCUGACUCACUCUAUGAAACUGCGAUACAUCUCAACAAAUCUCCCAGUUACAGGUAAGACACCACUCAUAGAACGGAUUAGCAUCGAUAUGUAAUGUAGAAUUAUAGAUCUGACUCACUUACUAGCUGUUGGUAUUAUUCUGUCAUUGUUUCACCUUGGCAGAGGAAUACUAAUAGGAGAGCGGGAAUGGUCCGGCACAUAUGACACAGAGCACCCCGUGCCAGAGAAGGCUGUUGCCUACAAGGGAGUUUCUUUUGGGGAUGCUGUGUGAUAAGUGCACACUCUGUCACUGUGGCUACAAAUUUGGCACUAAGGGGUUGCAGGCAUCACUCUGUAUGGAUUUCACAGCUCCUCACGGGCCCUGUUCUGGUGUUGGAGCCAGGAUAUGACAUCACACCAGCCCCAACGUCACUACAGAGCAGAAGGAAGCAAGGAAAUCGGUACAGAGCCUGGACACCAGGGUUAAGAAUCUACUCCAGCUCUCCUGCCGAAUGUAAGAAGACAGAUUCUUGAUGGAAAGAGAUAAAAAAUAAAGUAUAUAAAUAACAAUAAUUUGUGUGUGUGUAUAUAUGUAUAUGUAAGUAUGUGUGUAAAAGUCAGUGUGUGUGCGUAGGAGUCUGUGUAUAAAUGCAUGUAGGUACCAGUCUGUGUAUAUGAAUGUGUGUAUGGGUAUGUUUCAUUCUGUGUGUUUAUGUGUCUGUGUAUAUGAAUGCAUGUGUGCACACAUGAAUGUAAGUACAAGUGAAUGUGAAAAUAAUGUUUUUACAAUUUUGGGGUUUGGUGCAAAAUACAUAUCCAUCUGGUUGCCAUGCAUCCUAGGUAUGCCUCUGCCAUUGUACUGCCAUAAGUUUACCACCACCUUGAAUGACAAUAUUUAACGACUACCACAGCUCAUUGUUUUAUGUGACUAUGCAUCAAUCACUGCUUAGGAUUUUAUUCCAAAACAAAAGUAAAAUAUAAAACUAAAAAAUACUAGAUUAUAUAUCUGUGAUAUGGACUAAUCACAGAAAAUAACUUUUGGGAAUCACCAGCGGUUUGUUCACUAGACUAAAAAAACGUGCAGAAUUGAUGAAGAUACAAAAUGGAAUAAAAAAAAAAAA